CUUUGAUCUAUUUGAUAAAAAAAAUAUAUUAAAUAACAAUUAAUUGAAAAUGAAUUGAUACAAACAAGUUUCUCACUGUUCAAACACAAUCCCCUGAAAAAGAUCAUCGUGCUGACAGUGGGGAAGCGAGUGUACAUACUGCUACAUUCACCGAUUUCAUGGUAAAUCGAGCGUUUCUUAGCCAUAGGAUCUGGUGUGCCCUUACGCAAGCCCAUUGUACACGAGUGCCUCCUGUGGUGUUACGGUAGAAUGAGAACACAACGCGGAUUGGUCCGCAGGUCGUCCUAUCUUCAAAAUAGCAUUACCAACGAUCAUAAUAGCUCAACCGGUGUGUUGUUGAUGUGGUAGUAUAUAAGGAAUUUGUGCUACGACGGGUAAACAAGAAAAGAAACGAAUAAACUAGCAAACGUUUCUCUAUCCAUUAAGACGAUACGUGGCAAAAGAGAUUAUAUACGUUUAUAUUUUUCGACAACAAGAAACAAGAAGAUAUACGAUUUGCUCAAUGUAGAUGUUCAGUGGAUGCCUGUUUUCAAGCUGGAAAUUUAUUUUAAUUUUGCAUGUUAUACGUCAUAGGAAGAUAUUUUACGAACUGUGAAUUACCCCGCGAAUAUUUUUUCAACAAAGCGAACAUUAAUACGAAACAGCAAUAAUCAACGAUGUAAAUUUAUUAUGUAUUAAUGUCUCGAUGUGAAAAUAAAAAUAAUCGAAACGAGGUUAGCGCAAAUAAGCUUCUUGACUCGAGACGGUUAUACUAUCGAAAAGUGCUACACAGAUAAGGGCCUUGAUAGGGUGGUACAGGCGAUGACGGUGAUUUAAUAUUUUUCUUGUUAUGAGUAUAAGCUCACUAGUUUAUUCUGAAAACAGUAGCCAAGCACUGCUUCGUGUCCUCGUGCAAAACCACCUGCUCGAAUGAACAACUAUCGCGGGUAUCGUCACAAUCUAGAUCUUACUUAUUUACUCAUAUAUUUAUUUGUUAAAUUUUUUUUCGGUUUUUCUAUUAUUUUUAAUGUUUAGUAAUUGAUAUCUUGUGCGCUGAAAAGUUAAAUAAUCUUUUAUUAAAUAACAACUCUGUUUGCAUAUUAUAUUUGCAUCGUUUCAUGUAGCAUUUUUAUCGUAUCAUUAAUCGAAAAUGAUGUUCAUAUAUGGAUUCAAAGCAAUUUGUUCAUAUAAAUUUUAUGUUAUUGUGAUAAAAUAAAUUUUUUAGGACACGAUCAUGAAAAUAACAUUUGGUUUUAUACGAAUUCCAGACGUAGUACAUUUGUAUUUAGUCCACAAACGUGACAGAGCAACAGAGAAAAGAAAAAAGCAAGUUCUAUGCAUUUACGUGAUUAUUUCGAGAAGUUAAGUCGCCGAGACGCAUCCGCGUCACUGAUGGAUCUCACUAACGAGCACAACUGAUGAUUGACAAAAUAUUCUCAGUAUGAGACCGAAUUUAGAGUUAAGACGAAAAAUUUUAAGAAAUGGACAAUAGAAAAAAGAAGUCAGCAUUCUUCGCGCUCGGAAGGUGUUGAAGUAGGUAUGCCAAGUUAAAUAUACGCGUAGGAUGCACAGGCAGGACAAAAAGCACUUCCUCUUGUCUGACGAGUAUACUUUGAAGACCGAACGUAGGUUUCAGUAAGCAGACAAAAUAAGAAUUUUUACUCCAUACGAGAAAGCAUUCUACUUUUUGAAUUAUUCUUUGUUCGUAUUACUAUAAUUUUUUAUUUAUCCACAUAUUUUCUUAUAAAUAUGCAAAUAUGUAUAGUAAAUAUGUUAUGCAAAACUUUAUUAUUAAAAAAAUUAAUAUAUGAACGUACUCUUUAAUAGAAAGAAGUAUCGAAAUUUUUACACUACGACAAUGGGACAGAAACAUUCUCAUGCUUGUGAGAUCAUGUACAAUCUUCUUGAAUGUAACCGUUUCUUGUUGAUACUGGCAAUGAGUUAUGUUGACACAACGCAACCUGUUCUGGCUCCUCGUUGAAUAUUAUGAACAUAUUAUGACAGAUAUGCCAUCCAAAGAUCAAGAAAAUUAGAUAGCACGUGCUACUUUGAAAAUUGGAUAACGGAUUUGACGAAGUCUAUGUAAGUGUGAUUCGCCGGUUUCUCUAACUGUGACGCUUGUUUAAAUCUCAAUUCCAACGUUUCAUGCACUCGCUGAGGGCCAAGAGUCUCCACUAAUAACUCGGAUCAAUGUGAAUCUCCGUGUCGAUCAAAAUCAAAGAUCUUCUUUGGAAAAGUCAAUACGUCAACAAACAAGGCGUCAGUUGAAUUUCGUCUGAACUUUGCACAAACACCGGAAAAUCCCAAUGUUAACUGAUAUCUCAGGUUAAAGAGGUUGAUGAAAUUUAUGAAGCCAGUGAGACACAAAACAAAAAAUCGAGACGGCUUUUUGUCGAAAUAUUCGGCAAUCUUUUGCAAACGGAUUUGAGCUGUGGCCAAUAUUAGAGCAAUAAAAAAGCUCAUCGGACUACUGUGGCUUGUUUCAAAGCGACGGUAAUGGGGCUUGAAAGCUGCCGGCUAGGAAAAGGAAGUAGAAGGAGAAAGGGGUGACGGUAAGAGGAAAAAAUCGGAGAAGAGACGAGAGACAUUCGUCUUCGAAGGCGUUCAACCGUUUGAUAGCGGAACCACCCAGCGUUAACAUUGCUUACUUCUUUCAGUAAAAGAAAUCGACUGCAACAGUCGGAAACCUUUAUUGAAAUGACAAUCGUAAAAAUUUGAAUUUCUAUGGAUUGAAAGAAUGUCAUCUAUGCAAAUAAACAUUGCAUGAUACAUUAAAUAAAAUAUUUUUUGAAAAUACAAUGAAAUAAGAUCGAAAUUGUAUCUUUUGAAU
rnacentral:lncRNA from 1 species